rnacentral:rRNA from 1 species
ACGAACGCUGGCGGCGUGCUUAACACAUGCAAGUCGAACGGAAAGGCCCUGCUUUUGUGGGGUGCUCGAGUGGCGAACGGGUGAGUAACACGUGAGUAACCUGCCCUUGACUUUGGGAUAACUUCAGGAAACUGGGGCUAAUACCGGAUAGGAGCUCCUGCUGCAUGGUGGGGGUUGGAAAGUUUCGGCGGCUGGGGAUGGACUCGCGGCUUAUCAGCUUGUUGGUGGGGUAGUGGCUUACCAAGGCUUUGACGGGUAGCCGGCCUGAGAGGGUGACCGGCCACAUUGGGACUGAGAUACGGCCCAGACUCCUACGGGAGGCAGCAGUGGGGAAUAUUGCACAAUGGGCGGAAGUCUGAUGCAGCAACGCCGCGUGCGGGAUGACGGCCUUCGGGUUGUAAACCGCUUUCGCCUGUGACGAAGCGUGAGUGACGGUAAUGGGUAAAGAAGCACCGGCUAACUACGUG